rnacentral:lncRNA from 1 species
CCGGAUACGUGUUGCAGCCUUGUGGGAACAACUCAGCUGGCCACCUGAAGCCCUGAUGCUCUGGCUUGCACUGUCACUGGGGUAACUGGACCCCUGGGGACACAGGGGCACGAGGGCAAGCCACUCCCUCCCCAUCCGGCUAUAGUCUCCUUUAGAGGCCUGAAAAUCCUGCCCCUGGGUUUGGAGGGCUGUCUCUGGCUGCUUGAACUGGACCUGAUGUAGGGCUUCCAGAGACAAUUGUCCCGGUUUCCAGUUUCCAGAGUUAGAACUUCGCCUGCCCUGCAAGUCUGACCUGAGUCUGAGCUGGGCCUGCCUUCAGCUUUCUCCGUAUUCUCUGGAUCCCUUAUGUGACCCUCUCUUGGGGCAUGGAUCAGGCAGCCCUGCAAAAUAGCAUGGUCCCAAAUCUUGACUUCUCCACUCACAAGCUAGCUUAUCUGCGGAUCCUCUGCUUGAUGGUUUUAUGUGCAAUACAUUUCUCCCUUCGCAUCUUAGGCACUGAUGGUCCAUGACAAAUCGUGAUGAGGGUUCUCCACUGAGAAAAGAUGAUAAAGACUCUCAGGAGCAAUACUGCUCUUACUAUGAGUACAUUGAGAUCCAGAAAGUAACCAGGAACUUGUCUAGAAGGGGAGAGCUGGGAUUCCCAUGGAUUGCUGGAUUGCUCCUUCCCAGAAGCUGGCCCAGGGCUGAGCCAACACAGUAUGCUAUGGCAGUUUAAACACAUGGCUUUUGAAGUCAGACAGAUUCAAAUCUCAGCUCAGCCAAUUACUUGUGUGAUCUUAGACAAGCUAUUUCCCUUUAAACCUCAGUUUCUACAUCUGUAAAGUAGGGGUCAUGACAACCGGCUCCCAGUUAUUUUGUUACAUGGGUCAGUUGAAAAAAUGAAGAAUGUGAGACUCUUAAAUGAAUACCUGGUGCAGCACAAGGGCUCAAGAAACAGUAGCUAUUCUCACUAUUACUAUUAAUCAUUGGCAGACACAGCACUACUCUGCCUGCAGUUACGUGCAUGAUGUUUUACUAGUUUCUUUUUCCCCCCGAGUCGUUGAGAGUAAAAUACUCUGUCCUCCCUGCUUCAGCUCUCCACAUUCCAGAAACAGAGACCACUUACACAAGCAGCAACAGGGUCCAUUUCUGUGAUCAGUGGAGCCAAUGGCCCGCUCGUUGGAAACACCAGCAAGCAAAGUGUCAGGACUCAGAAGCCGCCAACAGGCUUCAGGACCCUGCCAAGCCCUCGUGCCCACUGGAGCAGCCAGGGGGAGGGGGUGACUAUGGCAUAAACACACGUUUGCUUUCAUUUGGCUUAGCUGACUGUGUGUUUUGUUAAACAAAUUUAGGUUUGGAAAAGAUUAU